rnacentral:rRNA from 1 species
AUUGAACGCUGGCGGCAUGCUUUACACAUGCAAGUCGAACGGUAACAGCACUUCGGUGGCUGACGAGUGGCGAACGGGUGAGUAAUACAUCGGAACGUGCCUAGUAGUGGGGGAUAACUACUCGAAAGAGUAGCUAAUACCCCAUGAGAUCUAAGGAUGACAGCAGGGGACCUUCGGGCCUUGCGCUACUAGAGCGGCUGAUGGCAGAUUAGGUAGUUGGUGGGAUAAAAGCUUACCAAGCCGACGAUCUGUAGCUGGUCUGAGAGGACGACCAGCCACACUGGGACUGAGACACGGCCCAGACUCCUACGGGAGGCAGCAGUGGGGAAUUUUGGACAAUGGGCGCAAGCCUGAUCCAGCAAUGCCGCGUGCAGGAUGAAGGCCUUCGGGUUGUAAACUGCUUUUGUACGGAACGAAAAGCCCUCUUCUAAUACAGGAGGGUCAUGACGGUACCGUAAGAAUAAGCACCGGCUAACUACGUG